CACAGCCGCGGUAAUACGUAGGGCGCGAGCGUUAAUCGGAAUUACUGGGCGUAAAGCGUGCGCAGGCGGUUGUGUAAGACAGGUGUGAAAUCCCCGGGCUUAACCUGGGAACUGCGCUUGUGACUGCACAGCUAGAGUAUGGCAGAGGGGGGUGGAAUUCCACGUGUAGCAGUGAAAUGCGUAGAGAUGUGGAGGAACACCGAUGGCGAAGGCAGCCCCCUGGGCCAAUACUGACGCUCAUGCACGAAAGCGUGGGGAGCAAACAGGAUUAGAUACCCGGGUAGUCCCUGUCUCUUAUACC
rnacentral:rRNA from 1 species